rnacentral:rRNA from 1 species
UACAUGCAAGUCGAGCGAACAGACGAGGAGCUUGCUCCUCUGACGUUAGCGGCGGACGGGUGAGUAACACGUGGAUAACCUACCUAUAAGACUGGGAUAACUUCGGGAAACCGGAGCUAAUACCGGAUAAUAUAUUGAACCGCAUGGUUCAAUAGUGAAAGACGGUUUUGCUGUCACUUAUAGAUGGAUCCGCGCCGCAUUAGCUAGUUGGUAAGGUAACGGCUUACCAAGGCAACGAUGCGUAGCCGACCCGAGAGGGUGAUCGGCCACACUGGAACUGAGACACGGUCCAGACUCCUACGGGAGGCAGCAGUAGGGAAUCUUCCGCAAUGGGCGAAAGCCUGACGGAGCAACGCCGCGUGAGUGAUGAAGGUCUUCGGAUCGUAAAACUCUGUUAUUAGGGAAGAACAAAUGUGUAAGUAACUAUGCACGUCUUGACGGUACCUAAUCAGAAAGCCUCGGCUAACUACGUGCCAGCAGCCGCGGUAAUACGUAGGUGGCAAGCGUUAUCCGGAAUUAUUGGGCGUAAAGCGCGCGUAGGCGGUUUUUUAAGUCUGAUGUGAAAGCCCACGGCUCAACCGUGGAGGGUCAUUGGAAACUGGAAAACUUGAGUGCAGAAGAGGAAAGUGGAAUUCCAUGUGUAGCGGUGAAAUGCGCAGAGAUAUGGAGGAACACCAGUGGCGAAGGCGACUUUCUGGUCUGUAACUGACGCUGAUGUGCGAAAGCGUGGGGAUCAAACAGGAUU